UGUAUCAAAUGAUGAAACAUCAGAACAAUCUUAGGACACCUUCUGACACAAUGCUGGUAGCACUGUGAGUGAGAAGGCAAUUCUUUGCUGAUGGUACU
rfam:Zea mays cultivar B73 chromosome 4, whole genome shotgun sequence.